UUUAUCUGUCGAUAGACACUUAGGUUGUUUCCAUGUCCUGGCUAUUGUAAGUAGAGCUGCAGUGAACAUUGGGGUGCAUGUGCUUUUUUAAAUUAUGGCUUUCUAUGGGUAUAUGCCCAGUAGUGGGAUUGCUGGGUUGUAUGGUAGUUCUAUAUUUAGUUUUUUAAGGACCCUCCAUACAGUUCUCCAUAGUGGCUGUAUCAAUUUACAUUCGGGGGGGCGGAUCUUGAGAAGAAAGGGCCACGGCGGCGGGGUCAGGCUCGCGUUGUGGAACUGAGAACCUGGGAAGGAGGCUGCCUCAGCAACAGAGCAGAGCAGCGUGGUCUGCGCGACGUAACGUAGCAUUUGGGGGCGGCCCGCGGUGCUCCGCCGCCCCUGACAACGGAGGCGAGGCGGGUGAUGUCAGGCGGAAGAGCGAAAUCGGAGCCGAAAGGCUGGGGUGGGGAGGAGAAGUCGGAGCCUGCGUGAUGGAGGGAGAUAGAGACUGGGAACGAGGCUUGUGACAUAGGCCGAGGGGCGUGUCCUGGGGCCGAGGAAAGACUGCAGAGGGGAGGUGGUGCCUUGUGAAGCAGAAAAUGGCGCCUGCGAAUGAGCAAAGUUUGUGACGCGGCGAGGUUUUUGCCUCUGGCCGAGCCCUUCUUCCCAGGACGGGAGAAAGUGCAGGUCGUGAGAGACAAAGGAUGAAGAACUGUUCCAGACUGAAGAAAUUAACGGGAUUUAACGAGUCAUGAUAACUAAAUGCAAAGUGUGAUCCUGGGUUGGAUCCCGGAGCAGAAAAAAUAAAUUAUUUAAAAAUCAGUAUUUUCUCAUAAAAUGAAUUUUCUCUUUUCCUGUAAAAGAUAUGAACGGGGAAAUUGGUAAAAUUUUACUAAGGUCUGAAGAUUAGCUAUUAGUACUGCUCAUUUCUUGCUUUUGAUAAUUGUAUUGUGAGUAUGAAAGAGAAUAUCUUUGUUUUUAGGAAAUACAUGCCGAAAUAUUUAGGGGUAAAGAACCAUCGUGUAAGCAAGCUUACUCUGAAAUCGUUGAAAGAAUGGCAUAUAUAAAAACGUAUUUAAAGAAAUAAUUGAGCAAAUGGGUAACAUUUUAAAUUUGGAGAAUCUGGAUGAAGGGCACACGGGAAUUCUUUGUAUUAUUUUUGCGAUUUUUCUGAGUCUAUUUCAAAGUAAAAACUUUAAAGAAUAAUAAAAAAUUUGUGAAUUAACCACCUAGGUUAAGAUUCAGACCGUUACCUUAAGAAAUCCUUCUGUGCCCCUCCCAGAUGAAGAGCUCCCUCCCUGCCAUGGGAAGUUAUUACCCUGAAUUUUUAAUUUCGUUAGCGUUUCCCCACCAUUGUAUGCAUCCCUAAAUAGUAUUUGUGGUCUAAGCUUUCAUUUUAUUGAGGAUAUAUAUGAAAUCAGACUGCAUGCACAUGGUGUGCCCUUUGCAUCAUGUCAGGUGGGUACUCCACAUGACGUCAUUGGUGACGUUAGCCUUGAUCACUUGGUGAAGGUAUCUGCUGGGUUUCUCCACUGUGCAGGUACUAUUUUCCUCUUUCCGUACACAGUAAUUCUUUUUAAAAAUAAUUUAUGUCCGUCCUUUCCUCAAAAUGUUUUAACAGUUUUCCUGUUUCAUUCAAUGUAAAUGCUAAAAUUCUUACAGUGACUUGCAGGGCUUUAGGAUUGCGAGGCUGGUCCCUGGCUCUGAUCUUCUCCCAUGCUCUUCUGAUUUCCCUCCCCCUCCCUUUCCCCGUCUGGCCAUAUUGGACUCUUGCUGUUCCUCGAACGCCUCAAGCAUGCUCUCACCUGAGAGCCUUUAGGAGUGAGGUUUGCUCAUUUUACAGAGUCCUUUAAUCACAGUACUAGCGAAAUAUAUAUUCCUGUUACUGGAGAGACAAGUUGAGAUUCCCCAAAUCGGAAAUAUGGAACUGAGCAAUUUGUUUUACCAUUAUACUAUAGCUCUCCAGCAAGGCAAAACCUCAGUCCAUCCUGAGAAUAAACAACAAUAACAGGAACAUUUUUAUAGCCCAUUUGGAGGUGUUCAGAAGGGCGGGGGGGGACGACUUCGGUUUCUGCCCCAUCCUACCUUUACAGCCUUGUGACAAUACCCUUUAAAAUUAUCCCACCAGUACCAGGUUUCCUCUUGGGGUGUUGAAAAUGUUUUGGAAGUAGAUAGAGGUUGUGGUUGCACAACGCUGAAUGUACUAAAUGCCAUUGAAUUGUUCACUUUUUAAAUGGUUAAUUUUAUGUCAUGUGAAUAAAAAAUUAUGCUCUGUCAAUAAAAAAAUUUAUCCCAUCGAUGUUGGUUCAGUAUUGAAGCCAGUUUAUCUCUGCUUUUGUGGAUAAUAUCAUGCAGCAUUUUUCCUUAGCUCCAUUUUUUAAUGCUUAUCUAGAGCAGAGCACAUCAAGAUUCUUUAAUUUGCUGUCUAUUUUAUAGGGGUUUGCUGCAGUGGUCAGGAAAUUUGUGCUUAUAAAGCAUUUCAAAGUCAUGGACUAACCCCAAAUCAUAUACCUAAUAUCCAUAUUAAUAUUUGCACCUGCUAUCUUUUGUCAGCUGGCAGAUCUGGGUGGGGGCAUUUAAUUAAUUUGGCCAUCUAAACUGAUUUAAUUUCUAGGAGAAGCUUAAAUUUUAAGAGA